UGGCUCAGGAUGAACGCUAGCUACAGGCUUAACACAUGCAAGUCGAGGGGCAUCAGGAAGAAAGCUUGCUUUCUUUGCUGGCGACCGGCGCACGGGUGAGUAACACGUAUCCAACCUGCCCUUUACUCGGGGAUAGCCUUUCGAAAGAAAGAUUAAUACCCGAUGGCAUAAUGAUUCCGCAUGGUUUCAUUAUUAAAGGAUUCCGGUAAAGGAUGGGGAUGCGUUCCAUUAGGUUGUUGGUGAGGUAACGGCUCACCAAGCCUUCGAUGGAUAGGGGUUCUGAGAGGAAGGUCCCCCACAUUGGAACUGAGACACGGUCCAAACUCCUACGGGAGGCAGCAGUGAGGAAUAUUGGUCAAUGGGCGCUAGCCUGAACCAGCCAAGUAGCGUGAAGGAUGAAGGCUCUAUGGGUCGUAAACUUCUUUUAUAUAAGAAUAAAGUGCAGUAUGUAUACUGUUUUGUAUGUAUUAUAUGAAUAAGGAUCGGCUAACUCCGUGCCAGCAGCCGCGGUAAUACGGAGGAUCCGAGCGUUAUCCGGAUUUAUUGGGUUUAAAGGGAGCGUAGGUGGACUGGUAAGUCAGUUGUGAAAGUUUGCGGCUCAACCGUAAAAUUGCAGUUGAUACUGUCAGUCUUGAGUACAGUAGAGGUGGGCGGAAUUCGUGGUGUAGCGGUGAAAUGCUUAGAUAUCACGAAGAACUCCGAUUGCGAAGGCAGCUCACUGGACUGCAACUGACACUGAUGCUCGAAAGUGUGGGUAUCAAACAGGAUUAGAUACCCUGGUAGUCCACACAGUAAACGAUGAAUACUCGCUGUUUGCGAUAUACAGUAAGCGGCCAAGCGAAAGCAUUAAGUAUUCCACCUGGGGAGUACGCCGGCAACGGUGAAACUCAAAGGAAUUGACGGGGGCCCGCACAAGCGGAGGAACAUGUGGUUUAAUUCGAUGAUACGCGAGGAACCUUACCCGGGCUUAAAUUGCAGUGGAAUGAUGUGGAAACAUGUCAGUGAGCAAUCACCGCUGUGAAGGUGCUGCAUGGUUGUCGUCAGCUCGUGCCGUGAGGUGUCGGCUUAAGUGCCAUAACGAGCGCAACCCUUAUCUUUAGUUACUAACAGGUUAUGCUGAGGACUCUAGAGAGACUGCCGUCGUAAGAUGUGAGGAAGGUGGGGAUGACGUCAAAUCAGCACGGCCCUUACGUCCGGGGCUACACACGUGUUACAAUGGGGGGUACAGAAGGCAGCUAGCGGGUGACCGUAUGCUAAUCCCAAAAGCCUCUCUCAGUUCGGAUCGAAGUCUGCAACCCGACUUCGUGAAGCUGGAUUCGCUAGUAAUCGCGCAUCAGCCACGGCGCGGUGAAUACGUUCCCGGGCCUUGUACACACCGCCCGUCAAGCCAUGGGAGCCGGGGGUACCUGAAGUACGUAACCGCAAGGAUCGUCCUAGGGUAAAA
rnacentral:rRNA from 1 species